rnacentral:rRNA from 1 species
AGAUUGAACGCUGGCGGCAGGCCUAACACAUGCAAGUCGAGCGGCAGCACGGGUACUUGUACCUGGUGGCGAGCGGCGGACGGGUGAGUAAUGCCUAGGAAUCUGCCUGGUAGUGGGGGAUAACGCUCGGAAACGGACGCUAAUACCGCAUACGUCCUACGGGAGAAAGCAGGGGACCUUCGGGCCUUGCGCUAUCAGAUGAGCCUAGGU